rnacentral:lncRNA from 1 species
UAUUAAUUUAGCGCUGUAAACGCGCGUGUGAGGGGCGGAGACGCGCCGCGGAGCGUCAGACGCGCGUGAGGACCAAACACAGCAGAACGGUAGGAAACUUCACUCCUCUUAUUAUUUCUCUUUUACUAUAGCGAUUUAUUUUUAGAUACGUGAUCUGAGUCUUUCAUAGAGUUGUUUUAUAAACGCAGUAACUUUGAAAUCAGCUCUGAAAGUUACUGACAGUGUUUAAAAACUAAUUAUGAUUUAAUAACAUGUUGAAUGAAUUUGGUAAGAAAGGUAUUCUGUUUUAUUUACAUAGAGGUUAUUAAUAUAGGCUGAAAUAUAAUGUUUUUUUAUAGUGUAAAGGUGAUCUUAUGGUGCAUUGCUCGUUAAAAGUUAGGCUGUUAAUAUAAUAUAGAGAAAGAUCAUUCUAAAUUAUUUUUACUAUAUUAAAACGCAUUUAUUUUUUACAUUCGUUGGUCGAGGUUUUCAGAUUGUCACAUCGGAGUCUGUUCGCGACUCGGUUGAUUCAGAUCGGCACUUCGGAGCAUGUUCGCGACUCUGUUGAUUCAGAUCGGCACUUCGGAGCAUGUUCGCGACUCGGUUGAUUCAGAUCGGCACUUCGGAGCAUGUUCGCGACUCGGUUGAUUCAGAUCGGCACUUCGGAGCAUUUUCGCGACUCGGUUGAUUCAGAUCGACACUUCGGAGCAUGUUCGCGACUCGGUUGAUUCAGAUCGGCACUUCGGAGCAUUUUCUCUACUCGGUUGAUUCAGAUCGGCACUUCGGAGCAUGUUCGCGACUCCGUUGAUUCAGAUUGAGACUCCGGGGGGACUGUUUGUGAUUUUUUUUUUUUUUUUUUUUAAUUCAGAUCUGUACUUCGAAGCAAGAAGUGUUUGUCAAACAGUUCAUUAGUGAUAACUGAAUAUUUGGGCCUGAGGCUUUUUUUUCUAACCUGUCGAUUUGAUUUUUAAAUGAUUUCAAUGACAGGAAGUUGCAUGUGUUGUGUUUUAUGAAUUGUGGAUGGAUUUAUCAACUGAGAAAUAAAGUUGAACAGAAAUGAUCAUGAACUCUUAAAGAUGAUGAUAAAAAGAAAAGGUAAUAUUGCAUAUAAAAUUAUAUCCAACUAACUUGCGCAAUACUUUAAAUAUUCUUAC